GUGGAUUAGAUACCCUGGUAGUCCACGCCGUAAACGAUGGGUGCUAGGUGUCACGGGCUUUGACUCUCGUGGUGCCGUAGCCAACGCAUUAAGCACCCCGCCUGGGAAGUACGGCCGCAAGGCUAAAACUCAAAGGAAUUGACGGGGGCCCGCACAAGCGGUGGAGCAUGUGGUUUAAUUCGACGCAACGCGAAGAACCUUACCUGGGCUAGAAAAUGCAGGAACCUGGUAGAAGUAUCGGGGUGCUCUUCGGAGAACCUGUAGUUAGGUGCUGCAUGGUCGUCGCCAACU
rnacentral:rRNA from 1 species